UACAGAGGGGGCAAGCGUUGUUCGGAAUUACUGGGCGUAAAGGGCGCGUAGGCGGCCUGUUAAGUCGAACGUGAAAUCCCCGGGCUCAACCCGGGAACUGCGUCCGAUACUGGCAGGCUUGAAUCCGGGAGAGGGAUGCGGAAUUCCGGGUGUAGCGGUGAAAUGCGUAGAUAUCAAGCGGAACACCGGUGGCGAAGGCGGCCUUCUGGACAGUGACUGACGCUGAGAUGCGAAAGCGUGGGGAGCAAACAGG
rnacentral:rRNA from 1 species